rnacentral:snoRNA from 1 species
UGGCUAUGAGGAUAAAUUGUAAACUGAAUUAUUAUGAUAGUUUAUUUACGCUAUUCUGAGCCGACA